rnacentral:rRNA from 1 species
AUUGAACGCUGGCGGCAGGCUUAACACAUGCAAGUCGAGCGAGCGGCGGACGGGUGAGUAAUGUCUGGGAAACUGCCUGAUGGAGGGGGAUAACUACUGGACAAGGUAGCUAAUACCGCAUACCAUCAUAUGUGCCCAGAUGGGAUUCGCUAGUAGGUGGGGUAAUGGCUCACCUAGGCGACGAUCCCUACCUGGUCUGAGAGGAUGACCAGCCACAAUGGAACUUAGACACGGUCCAGACUCCUACGGGAGGCAGCAGUUGUGAAUAUUGCACAAUGGGCGCAAGCCUGAUGCAGCCAUGCCGCGUGUGUGAAGAAGGCCUUCGGGUUGUAAAGCACUUUCAGCGAGGAGGCGUUACUCGCAGAAGAAGCACCGGCUAACUCCGUGCCAGCAGCCGCGGUAAUUC